GACGAACGCUGGCGGCGUGCCUAAUACAUGCAAGUCGAACGAGAGCGACCGGUGCUUGCACUGGUCAAUCUAGUGGCGAACGGGUGAGUAACACGUGGGUAACCUGCCCAUCAGAGGGGGAUAACAUUCGGAAACGGAUGCUAAAACCGCAUAGGUCUUCGAACCGCAUGGUUUGAAGAGGAAAAGAGGCGCAAGCUUCUGCUGAUGGAUGGACCCGCGGUGCAUUAGCUAGUUGGUGAGGUAACGGCUCACCAAGGCCGUGAUGCAUAGCCGACCUGAGAGGGUGAUCGGCCACAUUGGGACUGAGACACGGCCCAAACUCCUACGGGAGGCAGCAGUAGGGAAUCUUCCGCAAUGGACGCAAGUCUGACGGAGCAACGCCGCGUGAGUGAAGAAGGUUUUCGGAUCGUAAAACUCUGUUGUUAGAGAAGAACAAGUGCUAGAGUAACUGUUAGCGCCUUGACGGUAUCUAACCAGAAAGCCACGGCUAACUACGUGCCAGCAGCCGCGGUAAUACGUAGGUGGCAAGCGUUGUCCGGAUUUAUUGGGCGUAAAGCGAGCGCAGGCGGUUCCUUAAGUCUGAUGUGAAAGCCCCCGGCUCAACUGGGGAGGGUCAUUGGAAACUGGGGAACUUGAGUGCAGAAGAGGAGAGUGGAAUUCCAUGUGUAGCGGUGAAAUGCGUAGAUAUAUGGAGGAACACCAGUGGCGAAGGCGACUCUCUGGUCUGUAACUGACGCUGAGGCUCGAAAGCGUGGGUAGCA
rnacentral:rRNA from 1 species